ACACAAGCUGAUGUCAUCUGAUGGGUCUAUUUUAUCUACUUGGCUGUGCAAAUCCUCUUCUGUAGUAUAUGCUUUCUGGUGGACACUAAUAUGGAACACAAAGAUCUUCUCACAUUGCAGCUGCUCCCAUAUAUCCAUUGAUAUAUGCCUCUAACUCCAGACCUUUUUGUCCUUAAUCUUCUAAUCCGGUUAUCUCUUUUCCUUUAGUGCAAUUUUUCCUUAUUUGUUUGUUUUGUUUUUUUUUUUAAGUAAAUAGCUAGGCUUCUAAGCCCUACCACAGAGAGUCAACAGACAAACUGCCCAGGGAAAAGUUAUGACCUCAGGCAAAGUGAAUUUCUACAGCUAAGGCAGAUCCUGAAGAAGCUCACAAAUAAAGGCUGCAUACUCACACAUUCCCUGAAGCUUGACAGUGCCAGCCACCAUACUGUGAGGGAGCUGAAGUAAGCCCACAUGAGGAAGAAUUGAGGUCCCAAGCCAACAGCUGCAGCUAAGAUCCAAGCUCUCAACCAGUACCAGUUCAUCCGUUAUUUCCCAACAAUAUCAAUGAAUAAGAAGGAAGUCUUAAGGCUCCAGGAAUCCCCUCAGGGAGACUAGCUUUCAGAAUUUUAGGCACACUAAGAUAUGGAAGCUAAAAGAGGACUAAGAGGAUUCUGGGGAUAUUACAAGAUAUUGCAGACUAUCUUGUUUUCCUGGAAAAGGAUUUUACCUCAGUCGACUGAAUUACUUUUUUCACUGUGUCUUGCCACUCUUCGUGCAUGCAUCAAAGACCCUAAUAUGACUUCUGGUGGCCUGGGACUCCUUGGGAAAACAGAAAAGGGGCCACAAAUCCCAUUUUGGGAACAAUCUGUUUUACUCAUGGAACCCCUGGAAUUAGAGAAACCAUCAAGCUUUAAAUGGUGUGGCAAAAGGAGCUGAAAAUUAAACUGACCUUCUACUGCAUACCCUUAAAUUGACCCAGGAGGAGCCCUAGCUGCUAUUCCCAUGCCACGCCCCUCUCCAGCAGGAAGUAGCCAGAGUAAGUCGACGCCCAAUUCCCCGUAACAGCAGUUAGGAAUUUCAUUCCUGAGGGGGGUGUUUGUUAUAGGAGAUAAAAAUAAAUUAUUUGGGUAGACAGAGUAAA
ensembl:lncRNA novel transcript